CAGUAGCCGCGGGAAUACAGAGGUCCCGAGCGUUGUUCGGAUUCACUGGGCGUAAAGGGUGUGUAGGAGGUUGGAUAAGUCAGGUGUGAAAUCCCGCAGCUCAACUGCGGAACUGCAUUCGAUACUGUUCAACUAGAGGAUCGGAGGGGGAAGCGGAAUUCUUGGUGUAGCGGUGAAAUGCGUAGAUAUCAAGAGGAACACCGGUGGCGAAGGCGGCUUCCUGGAAGAUACCUGACUCUGAAACACGAAAGCCAGGGGAGCGAAUGGGAUUAGAUACCCCAGUAGUCCCUGUCUCUUAUAA
rnacentral:rRNA from 1 species